UACAGAGGUCUCAAGCGUUGUCCGGAAUCAUUGGGCGUAAAGGGCGCGUAGGUGGCCCGGUCAGUUCGUGGUGAAAGCGCGGGGCUCAACCCUGCGUCGGCCAUGAAUAGUGCCGCGGCUGGAGCACUGUAGAGGCAGGCGGAAUUCCGGGUGUAGCGGUGGAAUGCGUAGAGAUCCGGAAGAACACCGGUGGCGAAGGCGGCCUGCUGGGCAGUUGCUGACACUGAGGCGCGACAGCGUGGGGAGCAAACAGG
rnacentral:rRNA from 1 species